rnacentral:rRNA from 1 species
UACGUAGGGUGCGAGCGUUUGUCCGGAAUUAUUGGGCGUAAAGAGCUCGUAGGCGGUUUGUUGCGUCUAUCGUGAAAACCUGCAGCUUAACUGUGGGCUUGCGGUGGAUACGGGCAGACUUGAGUUCGGUAGGGGAGACUGGAAUUCCUGGUGUAGCGGUGAAAUGCGCAGAUAUCAGGAAGAACACCAAUGGCGAAGGCAGCUCUCUGGGACGGUACUGACGCUGAGACGCGAAAGCGUGGGGAGCGAACAGG